UAUACGUAUUGUCUUCCUUUUCCCUCUCCCAGCCGCCACACUUCUUUCUGUUAGCGUUUUUCUUGGCGCAGCUGGCGGCUCCGAACACGCAGGCCUCGUUCGGCCCUAUCUUCGCGCAUGCCGCCAUGGCCUUGUGCGCCCGGAGCUCCAGCUCACACGCCCUCGACAGCAGACGCAUGGACGCCGGGUCCAAGAGCGCCGCCAUCCUCUGUCCAGCGCUGGGAGGAAACAAAAAAUCACGCGGCGGUCUGCACCCAGCGGCGCUGCCUGCGCACGGCCACCAGACAGCCGAACGGCGGCCAGCAGACAGCCGAACGGCAAAGAAAGGAGCCUUCGCCCCUGCACCUGCACGGGUAAAUCCAGUCGCCAUUUGGCUUUCUUUUCUGUUGUUUUAUCUAUGAAUCCAAACAGAUUCGACCUCUUUUCAUUUUCAUCGAUUAAAACUUUUCCCAACUAGAUCAACACCUAGAUUAUGGCUCCGGUACCAAUGUUAAGAUUUACAGGAUCUCUAGGAGUAGAUCAGUGGGGUAAUCUAUAUUCUAUUGAGUAAUUUCGGGUUCCUAAUUUGUAGAACAGAACAGUAGUUAGAUUGUUACCGUCAUUGGGAAGUGCAGGCGUGUUGGAGGAUGUAGAUCCGUCCGCCAUCAGGUUCGUUGAUGAAGGUUGAUGCAGCGAGGUUGUCGACGGCGAUGAACGGCGGUGUCUUCCCGUCACUGGCUGCGCACCCUCUCAGAUCGGUGUUAGGGUUUUGUCGGUGGGGAGUACGGCUCUAGUGAAACACGUCAUCCGAGCCGCCGGCCCCCACCCUUUUAUUUAUAGCGCAGUGUGACAGGGGCCCACCAACCAUAUCGGGUUGGGCGCCCCCGAUCAGGGCGCAAUCAAAGGCCCAAGAUGUCCGUUGGGCCCAUCUUGGUGGAGAUCAAUCCAACAUUCUCCCCCUUGAUCUCAUCGUUCACUUUAAACUUUAAACUUUAACUUCAACACUUUUCACUUUACUCGUUCCAUCACAGAUAAGUGCAUAGAGCAUGUUUCAUCGUCACGAUCAAUCGUCGAUAGAUUUGACAGCUACAAUACACAUCUCUGAUCUGAAACAGUUACUUUAACUUUAGGCCCUAUUUAUAGUCCAGGAAUCAUAGGCUUUCCCUUAAACCCAUGCCGGCUACAUGUUCUUUGAACACUUUGGGUGGUAAGCCUUUUGUAAGCGGAUCCGCGAGCAUCUUUUCACUUCUUAUAUGCUCAAGACUUAUUAUUUGAUCCCGGACUUUAUCCUUCACAACGUAGUACUUUAUGUCAAUGUGUUUGGCAGCACCACUUGACCUAUUGUUGUGAGCAUACUGUACUGCUGGAGCAUUAUCGCAGUAUAACUUUAGUGGUUUAUGUAUGCUGUCGACCACCUUUAAACCGGGUAUGAACUUCUUUAACCAGUUCACCUGCCCCGAAGCCUCAAAACACGCUACAAACUCGGCAUACUCUGUGGACGAUGUAGUGACGGUUUGUUUCGAGCUUUUCCAUGAAAUAGCUCCACCUGCGAGAGUGAACACAUAUCCCGAUGUGGAUUUUCUAUCAUCUCCCGCAUAAUCAGAAUCUGUGUACCCCACUAUUUGGAGUGAAUCUGUUCUUCUAUACGUCAUCAUGAGGCCUUUCGUGCCUUGCAAAUACCGCAAGACUUUCUUUACCAAUUUCCAGUGCUCAAUCCCUGGAUUACAUUGAAAUCUGCCAAGCAACCCGGUAACAAAAGCUAAGUCAGGGCGCGUACACACUUGAGCAUACUGCAGGCUUCCGACAGCAGAAGCAUAUGGAACCACUUUCAUUUGGUCGAGCUCGUACUGGUUCCUAGGGCAUUGAAAAUCCCCAUAUUUGUCGCCCUUGACUAUUGGUGCAGGUGAUGCACUACAUUUGUGCAUAUUGAAUCUCUUUAAAAUCUUUUCUAUGUAUAACUUUUGGGACAGUCCCAAUACCCCUUUUGUUCUAUCUCGGUGAAUCUCUAUGCCCAAAACAAAAGACGCUUCACCAAGAUCUUUCAUGUCAAAUUUUGAGGACAAAAACUUCUUUGUCUCCAGCAGUAGACUGACAUCACUACUAGCAAGUAAGAUAUCAUCCACAUAUAGGAUUAGGAAGAUGUACUUUCCAUUCUUAAACUUUGCAUAUACACAGUUGUCCUCAACAUUCUCUUUAAACCCAAAAUCCUUUAUUGUUCUAUCAAACUUCAAGUACCACUGUCUUGAAGCUUGUUUUAAACCAUAAAUUGAUUUCUUUAGGCGGCAUCCCAUGCCUUCUUUUUCUUUCACAACAAAACCUUUCGGUUGUGCCAUGUAAACAAUUUCUUCCAAAUCCCCAUUGAGGAAUGCUGUCUUUACAUCCAUCUGAUGUAACUCUAAAUCAUAGUGUGCCACUAAUGCCAUUAUAAUUCUGAAGGAGUCCUUACAUGAGACUGGAGAAAAUGUCUCAUUGUAAUCAAUCCCUUCUCUUUGUGUAAAGCCUUUUGCCACAAGUCGUGCUUUAUGUCUUUCAAUAUUCCCUUUGGAGUCGAGUUUUGUUCUGUAUGCUAGUACGGACUAUAUGCUAGUUUGUUAAACAAAUAAGAACGGUGGCCUUAUCAUUCAUAUCAGCGAGCAAACAGACAGACACAUGUAAUCUGCUAAUCACCCACCAGGCCACCACAUGGUGGAUAAAUCUGGGCAAAGCAGGAGAUUUCAUUUGGUGUGGAAGUUAGGGCGCUAUGGAUGAUCUGCCUGUGGGAUCUCGGGAAUGUGACGCUCUUCUUCCUUGGCGUUCAGCGAAAUAAACAAAAGCACGCUCCUCCCAUAAACAAACCACCUUUUUGAAUGAUGGAGAUGUGCUCAUAGGGCAAACGGCCUGAUAAACCGUGAUCUAAUAGAAAACUAUGGCAACGCUAACAUGCGAUCAGUGUCUUGUGUCUAGACUCUAGAAGCUUGCAUUUUAAAAUCAGGGGAGAUUGAGUUGUCUGUGCCAGUGUGAUCCAAACAGCAGAAUAUACGGUUUGUAUUUGUUCUAUAAUUUUUUACAUUUGAUACUCCAACGAGUAACGAGGCAGCUGUGCGCUCAAUUGCUAGCCAAGAUGACAUCUGUGUGUUGCCAGUAUCCGAUGCAAAACCACUGCUGCUUCUUUUUUUAUUAAUAUAUAAUAUAAAACGCAUGAGACGAUCAGCGUGUAUACAAUGCAUCUAAAUGAUGCGCCGUUUCUCUUUUUGGCUAUGAGAAGGUGCACGAUGCCGAGUGGAGCCUUAAGAUUUGCUCACCUGCACCCAGCUAGCAGCCACAUGGAUGAAACGACAAAGUCUGCUGCUCUCUCAAGUGAGUCAUGGCUGUAAUUAUAACCGCAAUUAUGCCUGCCCAAAAGCCCAAAGCAGAGCACAUAGGUGAUGGUCAACGACAAAGAUGAAGGUCAUGCGAGUUUGUGUCGGUGGACUCAGAGUAGUGAAGGACGAACAUCAGGCUAUAACUAAGAGUCCAGAAAAGCUAGAGGACCAAUCAUGAGUGGCUGACACCUAGGGUCAUCGAUGAGUGCAAGAGGACAUGGAGAAGUACAUUAUGUUGAUCGAAUCAAGAUGGCGGUUGAUCAAGUAAAAUUGAAGCGCUAGAGGACUUAGUGAUUUGGCGGUCAAGGACUUGAGGUGACACAUUUCAAGAUUGUGGGGAGAGCAUAUGGAGUACCCUACCCAUGAUUGAUUUAAUUGUUUGAGCAUCAAAACCAUGAGUUGACAACAUCUAGCUUUGUACCUCAAAACUUGGGUGGAGUUCUAGCGAGAACUGUAGGUGGCAGUGGCAUCAUCAUGAAGCUUGCAUCGGUGCAAAGCAAAGUUGUGAGACCAUAACAUCUGCGGGGUUAAAUUGUUUGGCUCUAAUUACCUAGGGACAAGUUGGAAAUAUGUAAUAUCUCUAUCAAUAAUGUAAGGAAAAUGAAUCAAUGCCUAUUUAUAGUAA